AUUAUGAUGCACUAAUGAUGUUCAAUAUUUCUGUUCAAUAUUUCCCAGGUCACAUAUUUCUAGUUGGGCUAUCACAAAUGAGCAUGUAUCAUUUGAGAUAAGAAGAACUUCAGGGCAAAUUAUGAAGACAUUCGCAGAGUAAAAUCAAAUAUAAGAGCAACCUUGUCACCAGUGGAGUCUGUCCACAUCUUCAUCUGGGCCCAUCAUCUUGACAAGCACUAAGCUGUAAAGUCAGAGUGGAGAAUAAAUGCAUGGACCCGAGACUCUCUCAAGGACUUAUAUGGCAAGCUCAUCAGUCUUCCCAGUUCAGGGGCUUCUAUCCUUCAGAUGCAGUCUGCAGAAAGGAGUCAGCACCCCAUAAAACAUGCCAGUGAUUUGCAUCUAGUCUUCCUGACAGAUUAAGCAGCUCCUGUUAGCUGCCUAGCACCCUGCCAAAAAAAAAAGUCCUUACAUCCUGGUGCUUUCUUAGAAGUAAAGUGCAGUGUCGCCGUCACAUGGGACAUCCUUCCUUCAUUAUCGACAUUGAUCUAGGGACACGGCAAGGCCCCGGACAGCAGGAGGUGACGGAGGCCCCAGGGAAAUAUAGGCUGAGUCCUCGCUGAACCGACAUCACAGUCCUGCCAGUCAGCAUCAGCAUCCUGGGUGACCCUUCACAGGUGUGGAGCUGAAUGAGAACGAGUUGCUGUUUGGAAAACGGGCAUCAUGCCAUUACGUGCCCAUGUCUGUGCCAAGAGAAGGCUGGCUAAAUCUCAAAAGGGACAAUGGAAUGGAGGGAACCCACACUGGUGAAGACUGAGAUAUGAAUAACCCAAGUGGGGAUCUCGUUCGAAAGUUCCAACUCCUGUCUUCUCUGUGCAGCCUCCAGUAUAAGACCUGGAGCUCUCGUCCUCUUCCCCUUCC